rnacentral:rRNA from 1 species
UUGAACGCUGGCGGCAGGCCUAACACAUGCACGUCGAACGGUAACAGGAAGAAGCUUGCUUCUUUGCUGACGAGUGGCGGACGGGUGAGUAAUGUCUGGGAAACUGCCUGAUGGAGGGGGAUAACUACUGGAAACGGUAGCUAAUACCGCAUAACGUCGCAAGACCAAAGAGGGGGACCUUCGGGCCUCUUGCCAUCGGAUGUGCCCAGAUGGGAUUAGCUAGUAGGUGGGGUAACGGCUCACCUAGGCGACGAUCCCUAGCUGGUCUGAGAGGAUAACCAGCCACACUGGAACUGAGACACGGUCCAGACUCCUACGGGAGGCAGCAGUGGGGAAUAUUGCACAAUGGGCGCAAGCCUGAUGCAGCCAUGCCGCGUGUAUGAAGAAGGCCUUCGGGUUGUAAAGUACUUUCAGCGGGGAGGAAGGGAGUAAAGUUAAUACCUUUGCUCAUUGACGUUACCCGCAGAAGAAGCACCGGCUAACUCCGUG